GUCGAGAAUUUAAAUUAUUCUUUAUUUUUUUCUUGAUGUUAAGAAGUGUCCGAAUAACAUUAUCAUAAUAUUCUUCUCAAUGUGCAUGACAUCCAAGUUAUGAUGAUGUACGAGAUGUUGCCAAUAAAGUAAUUCAAAAAAUAUGCUCCGCUUCAUCCAAUUCAACUCUGAUUCAUUACACUUUCACUUACGACUUUCAAAAAUUUUGCUGAAUUUGACACUACCAAUGGCCUCUAGUUGUGCCAAUAUGUCAUCUUCGCUCAUCACACAAUGUGGCCCA
rnacentral:lncRNA from 1 species